AAAUAAAUAAGCCGGUGCGGUGCGUCGUGAAACAUCGCCACUCGGGGAGACAAAGGCGGCCGGGCGUGGCGCUGACUGACCAAACAGCACUUUCGUAGGCUGUGAGAUGUUGACCACCUCGCCCGGUAUACAGGAGGUCGUGGGUUCCAUCCCGACCCUGACGAUGCCUGCUACUGCUGCUGCUGUAGAUGUGGAGUCUGCGUCUCUCUCAUCAUCAUCAUCACGGUGGCUGUGAGAUGUUGACCACCUCGUCUGUUAUAAAAGAGGUCGUGUGUUUUAUCCCAACCCUGA